rnacentral:tRNA from 1 species
GCGGGUGUCGCCAAGUGGUAAGGCAGUAGCUUCCCAAGCUACCAUUCGACGGUUCGACGGUUCGAAUCCGUUCACCCGCA